AAAGGUUGACCUCGGAUCA
rnacentral:rRNA from 2 species